rnacentral:misc_RNA from 1 species
CUUGCUUAAAAAAAGAUAGAUGCAGUUCGGCCAAGAUAUGUUCCGAAAGAAACAUGGAAAAGUCGGUUGAGACUUUGAAAAGAUCCCAAGGUUAUUGAAAAGUUAAAAAAUGAACUCAAAAAAUCAGUGUGGCGGUCAAAACAUAAAUCUAUUUUAUAUGUGUGAUCUUAACCCUUCGGAUCGCUGAAGUGCCUUUGUAUUAAGUUUGCAAUCCCACAAUUCGAG